AACGAACGCUGGCGGCAGGCCUAACACAUGCAAGUCGAGCGAGGACUUCGGUCCUAGCGGCGGACGGGUGAGUAACGCGUGGGAACGUGCCCUUUGCUUCGGAAUAGCCCUGGGAAACUGGGAGUAAUACCGGAUGAGCCCUUUGGGGGAAAGAUUUAUCGGCGAAGGAUCGGCCCGCGUUGGAUUAGGUAGUUGGUGGGGUAAUGGCCUACCAAGCCGACGAUCCAUAGCUGGUUUGAGAGGAUGAUCAGCCACACUGGGACUGAGACACGGCCCAGACUCCUACGGGAGGCAGCAGUGGGGAAUCUUAGACAAUGGGGGAAAUCCUGAUCUAGCCAUGCCGCGUGAGCGAUGAAGGCCUUAGGGUUGUAAAGCUCUUUCAGCUGGGAAGAUAAUGACGGUACCAGCAGAAGAAGCCCCGGCUAACUCCGUG
rnacentral:rRNA from 1 species